rnacentral:lncRNA from 1 species
GCCAGGUUGCAGAGGCACACUCUCAAAUCCGCCUUCAGUGAAACCACAGAAAUAUCCAAAUACUACACAUGGGGGCUUUUUUUCCCCUUCCCUGAGAAUCAGCUGGUAAUUUACUGGCAUGUCACUGCAUAUAAACAAAAUCCAAGAGGAAUCAGUUAACCUGCUGGACUGAACAAGGAGUUUGGCAUAAAACUGGCCAGAUAAACAGAUAAGGCUGAUUGUGUUAUGUCUCCCUUCCUUAAUGGAAGCCUGAUAGGAAUGAGGCCCACGGUGACUCAGCAGUUAGUUCCCUUUACUGCGUAGCCUUGGAAGUAAUGGAGUGGGCUUUCAUGAUUUUGCUUCUUUCUUCUUUUCCACUGAAAUGGAGGCCUUCAGUUGCAAAGUUCUCCAUUGUCAGAUUACGCUGCCUGAUGGGCAUGAAAAGUCCACAAAAGAGAAUUUUCUGAUGUGAGAAUGGAGGGUGUUGCCUGCAACUACCCCAGAUCCCUGCGGUGGCAGUUUAAGCCGCCUCCUGGAGCAGAUUGUUAAGCUGAUGCGAGUCUGGGCUCUGCCUCACCACUUGUCUCAGAGGAAUCUCGGCCAAGAAGACAGGGACAAGCUCCCAACUCUGACUACCCCUUUUACAGGGAAAAAAAAAAAAUCCCGUGCCUUCUUUGCAGCAAGUGACAAAUCCUUGUCAUAUCGAGA